rnacentral:misc_RNA from 1 species
GGAAGUAAAAGUGUAACAAGGUUUCCGUAGGUGAACCUGCGGAAGGAUCAUUAAUGAGUUGUCAUGGGGUUCGAUGCUGGCAGCCAAUUUUUGGAUGCAUGUGCUUGCCCUAACAAUCAUCUUCCAAACACCUGUGCACAUUUUUGAGGGAGUCUUGAGUUGGUUGCCGCUCUUGGGUGAUUUUCUCACAUUCCCUUAAAUCAUUAUACGCUAUUAACAAUGUUGAACGUGCUCUGUGCCGCAAGGCUAUUAAUAUAAUACAACUUUUAACAACGGAUCUCUUGGCUCUC